rnacentral:lncRNA from 1 species
CCCAUUUAGUCCUAAUUAAUGCACCUGAGCAACCUAUAUUUAAUGAGUACCCUAGCAUUCCUAGGUUGACUGACUUACACACCAAAAUGCCUCAAAUGUGCUGGGGCAUUUAAUAACCAACUAAGCACAUUAAAUGCUAAGACACUCAAGGAUCUCCAGUAUAAACAUGGCAUUUACUGAUGUUGAAUCCCACAUCGGUUGUGGAAAGGGGUAAUGUGCCCUUAUAUGAGUCAUAGGCAAUCCUCCCCCUUGAGCUAGCUUUUGGGAUGAGUUAGGCCUGAUCCAAAUUUAACAUAGUAUUAGAGCCUCCCAUACGAUGUUGGACCACCCAUAAAUAUAUCACGUACCAAUAAAAUUCUGGGCGUGAGGGGGUGUGUUGAAUCCCACAUCAGUUGUGGAAAGGGGUAAUGUGCCCCUUAUAUGAGUUAUAGGCAAUCCUCCCUCUUGAUCUAGCUUUUGGGGUGAGUUAGGCUUGACCCAAACUUAACAACUGAUAUGUAAAUUAUGGACUGAUAAGACCAAAGUGCAACAGAGUGGGCAGUCAAAGGAUGAUUGGUAUAACCUAAUUCCAAUUCAUACCAUCCCAAUGAAGCCUCCUAGUUGCAUGCAGCAUAUCCCUAUUGGCUGGAUGAUAAUAUAAAAUCUAUACAAGUACCAGGCAAAACAUUCCUCCAACUCAUUAACUCCAGCCUUGAUUCUGCCUUCCUUUCAUUUACUCUUUCUGAACUUUCUUUAUUAUCCUUACUAAUUUAGCUACCGGACUACCGGAUAGGGAAGCUGCUUAGCUUUCUGACUCAACUUCAUACCUUGUAGGCACCUGGACAUCAACCUAUAGAUACCCAAUAGCAUUGGAGGUGGUUGUAAAAACAUAGUUGCUCUAAAGUCAUAGUAAGGUCAUCUCAUACUGCCCAAUACCUCUUGAUCUAUAUGACAACCAUGAUCUCUACACUAUUAUAAAGUAAUCAAUAAAUAAACCAUCAACAAGUCCUGUAAUCAUAAGUAACCAAUAUUCAGUAAUAAAGAUGUCAACUAGAUCGGAUAAGUUGUUGAAAGGGAGAGAAUUUUGUGAACCAAAAGAAAGAAUAGUGAGACAAACAGA